rnacentral:rRNA from 1 species
AACGAACGCUGGCGGCAUGCCUAACACAUGCAAGUCGAACGAGAUCUUCGGGUCUAGUGGCGCACGGGUGCGUAACGCGUGGGAAUCUGCCCUCAGGUUCGGAAUAACCAUUGGAAACGAUGGCUAAUACCGGGUGAUGACGUUAAGUCCAAAGAUUUAUCGCCUGAGGAUGAGCCCGCGUAGGAUUAGCUAGUUGGUGUGGUAAAGGCGCACCAAGGCGACGAUCCUUAGCUGGUCUGAGAGGAUGAUCAGCCACACUGGGACUGAGACACGGCCCAGACUCCUACGGGAAGCAGCAGUGGGGAAUAUUGGACAAUGGGCGAAAGCCUGAUCCAGCAAUGCCGCGUGAGUGAUGAAGGCCUUAGGGUUGUAAAGCUCUUUUACCCGGGAUGAUAAUGACAGUACCGGGAGAAUAAGCUCCGGCUAACUCCGUG